rnacentral:rRNA from 1 species
UUGGUUAAGUUAGAAAGGGCGCACGGUGGAUGCCUUGGCACUAGGAGCCGAAGAAGGACGGGACUAACACCGAUAUGCUUUGGGGAGCUGUACGUAAGCGUUGAUCCAGAGAUUUCCGAAUGGGGGAACCCACUAUCUUUAGUCGGAUAGUAUCCUUACGUGAAUACAUAGCGUAAGGAAGGCAGACCCAGGGAACUGAAACAUCUAAGUACCUGGAGGAAGAGAAAGAAAAAUCGAUUUCCUGAGUAGCGGCGAGCGAAACGGAAAGAGCCCAAACCAAGAAGCUUGCUUCUUGGGGUUGUAGGACACUCUAUACGGAGUUACAAAAGAAAGUUAUAAAUGAAGCGGUCUGGAAAGGCCCGCCAAAGACGGUAACAGCCCGGUAGUUGAAAUGGCUUUCCCUCCAGAGUGGAUCCUGAGUACGGCGGAACACGUGAAAUUCCGUCGGAAUCCGGGAGGACCAUCUCCCAAGGCUAAAUACUCCCUAGUGACCGAUAGUGAACCAGUACCGUGAGGGAAAGGUGAAAAGCACCCCGGAAGGGGAGUGAAACAGUUCCUGAAACCGUGUGCCUACAAGUAGUUAGAGCCCGUUAAUGGGUGAUAGCGUGCCUUUUGUAGAAUGAACCGGCGAGUUACGAUUUGUUGCAAGGUUAAGCGGAAAAAGCGGAGCCGUAGCGAAAGCGAGUCUGAAUAGGGCGCAUAAGUAACAGGUCGUAGACCCGAAACCAGGUGAUCU